UACGGAGGGGGCUAGCGUUGUUCGGAAUUACUGGGCGUAAAGCGCACGUAGGCGGAUAUUUAAGUCAGGGGUGAAAUCCCGGGGCUCAACCCCGGAACUGCCUUUGAUACUGGGUAUCUGGAGGUCGAGAGAGGCGAGUGGAAUUCCGAGUGUAGAGGUGAAAUUCGUAGAUAUUCGGAGGAACACCAGUGGCGAAGGCGGCUCGCUGGCUCGAUACUGACGCUGAGGUGCGAAAGCGUGGGGAGCGAUCCGG
rnacentral:rRNA from 1 species